rnacentral:rRNA from 1 species
ACUCAAAUGAAUUGACGGGGGCCCGCACAAGCGGUGGAUCAUGUGGUUUAAUUCGAAGCAACGCGAAGAACCUUACCUGGAUUUGACAUCCUCUGAAUACAGUAGAGAUAUUGUAGGCCCGCAAGGGACAGAGAGACAGGUGCUGCAUGGCUGUCGUCAGCUCGUGUUGUGAAAUGUUGGGUUAAGUCCCGCAACGAGCGCAACCCCUGUGCUUGGUUGCCAUCAUUAAGUUGGGCACUCCAAGCAGACUGCCGUCGUCAAGACGGAGGAAGGUGGGGAUGACGUCAAGUCCUCAUGGCCUUUAUAUCCAGGGCGACACACGUGAUACAAUGGUAGGUACAGAGGGUCGCGAAGUGGUGACACGGAGCCAAUCUCAAAAAGCCUAUCUCAGUUCGGAUUGGAGUCUGCAACUCGACUCCAUGAAGUUGGAAUCGCUAGUAAUCGCGGAUCAGCACGCCGCGGUGAAUACGUUCCCGGGCCUUGUACACACCGCCCGU